rnacentral:rRNA from 1 species
AGGGUUCGAUUCUGGCUCAGAAUGAACGCUGGCGGCAUGCCUAACACAUGCAAGUCGAACGAAGGCUUCGGCCUUAGUGGCGCACGGGUGCGUAACGCGUGGGAAUCUGCCCCUUGGUUCGGAAUAACAGUUAGAAAUGACUGCUAAUACCGGAUGAUGACGUAAGUCCAAAGAUUUAUCGCCGAGGGAUGAGCCCGCGUAGGAUUAGCUAGUUGGUGUGGUAAGAGCGCGACCAAGGCGACGAUCCUUAGCUGGUCUGAGAGGAUGAUCAGCCACACUGGGACUGAGACACGGCCCAGACUCCUACGGGAGGCAGCAGUGGGGAAUAUUGGACAAUGGGCGAAAGCCUGAUCCAAGCAAUGCCGCGUGAGUGAUGAAGGCCUUAGGGUUGUAAAGCUCUUUUACCCGGGAUGAUAAUGACAGUACCGGGAGAAUAAGCUCCGGCUAACUCCGUGCCAGCAGCCGC